UCGAACCACUUCCGCAAUAAAGCUACGCACCAGGCUAUUGGCCGUGGGGUGAGGCGCGCAGAGAUGACGUAAAGGAAACUAUUUUAAAUGUUCUUUUUAUUUUGUUCAGCGGUUCAGAAGACGUCCUGUAAUUUUCACUUUUGGUCCCGUUGUUAGGUUGUAAUACCGCAGUUGAGAAGAAAGAAACAGCUAAGUAAUCGAGAAAAAUGCCGCCUCUUGAAACGGAUAUAGCGGUGGAAACAGAAGAGAAAGGAUUGAGUAUGUUAUAAUACAGGAGCUUAAAAGACAUAUGCUCAAAGAUAAAGAGGCUAAUGUCAGAGCACUUGAAAAGUAUCAGGGAGUUGAGAGAGAUGACAGAAAUGUGCAAGCCUGAUGAGGCACAAAAUCGAAUUACUGAAGUAAAUGCAAAACAAGACAAAUUCUCACAACAUGCCGGAAAAAAGGGAAAACAAAUCAAAAUAAGAAAA